rfam:Myotis brandtii contig218360, whole genome shotgun sequence.
GGCGGUUCUUGGGUAACGCACUCUGGAAUCUGGCUCCCUCCUCUCUACUUCUGGGUGCAUCAUCUGAGAACCGCA